GGGUUGUGAGGUUAAGCGACUAAGCGUACACGGUGGAUGCCCUGGCAGUCAGAGGCGAUGAAGGACGUGCUAAUCUGCGAUAAGCGUCGGUGAGGUGAUAUGAACCGUUAUAACCGGCGAUUUCCGAAUGGGGAAACCCAGUGUGUUUCGACACACUAUCAUUAACUGAAUCCAUAGGUUAAUGAGGCGAACCGGGGGAACUGAAACAUCUAAGUACCCCGAGGAAAAGAAAUCAACCGAGAUUCCCCCAGUAGCGGCGAGCGAACGGGGAGGAGCCCAGAGCCUGAAUCAGUGUGUGUGUUAGUGGAAGCGUCUGGAAAGGCGCGCGAUACAGGGUGACAGCCCCGUACACAAAAAUGCACAUAUUGUGAGCUCGAUGAGUAGGGCGGGACACGUGGUAUCCUGUCUGAAUAUGGGGGGACCAUCCUCCAAGGCUAAAUACUCCUGACUGACCGAUAGUGAACCAGUACCGUGAGGGAAAGGCGAAAAGAACCCGGCGAGGGGAGUGAAAAAGAACCUGAAACCGUGUACGUACAAGCAGUGGGAGCCUCUUAAUGGGGUGACUGCGUACCUUUUGUAUAAUGGGUCAGCGACUUAUAUUCUGUAGCAAGGUUAACCGAAUAGGGGAGCCGAAGGGAAACCGAGUCUUAACUGGGCGUUAAGUUGCAGGGUAUAGACCCGAAACCCGGUGAUCUAGCCAUGGGCAGGUUGAAGGUUGGGUAACACUAACUGGAGGACCGAACCGACUAAUGUUGAAAAAUUAGCGGAUGACUUGUGGCUGGGGUGAAAGGCCAAUCAAACCGGGAGAUAGCUGGUUCUCCCCGAAAGCUAUUUAGGUAGCGCCUCGUGAAUUCAUCUCCGGGGUAGAGCACUGUUUCGGCAAGGGGGUCAUCCCGACUUACCAACCCGAUGCAAACUGCGAAUACCGGAGAAUGUUAUCACGGGAGACACACGGCGGGUGCUAACGUCCGUCGUGAAGAGGGAAACAACCCAGACCGCCAGCUAAGGUCCCAAAGUCAUGGUUAAGUGGGAAACGAUGUGGGAAGGCCCAGACAGCCAGGAUGUUGGCUUAGAAGCAGCCAUCAUUUAAAGAAAGCGUAAUAGCUCACUGGUCGAGUCGGCCUGCGCGGAAGAUGUAACGGGGCUAAACCAUGCACCGAAGCUGCGGCAGCGACACUAUGUGUUGUUGGGUAGGGGAGCGUUCUGUAAGCCUGUGAAGGUGGCCUGUGAGGGUUGCUGGAGGUAUCAGAAGUGCGAAUGCUGACAUAAGUAACGAUAAAGCGGGUGAAAAGCCCGCUCGCCGGAAGACCAAGGGUUCCUGUCCAACGUUAAUCGGGGCAGGGUGAGUCGACCCCUAAGGCGAGGCCGAAAGGCGUAGUCGAUGGGAAACAGGUUAAUAUUCCUGUACUUGGUGUUACUGCGAAGGGGGACGGAGAAGGCUAUGUUGGCCGGGCGACGGUUGUCCCGGUUUAAGCGUGUAGGCUGGUUUUCCAGGCAAAUCCGGAAAACCAAGGCUGAGGCGUGAUGACGAGGCACUACGGUGCUGAAGCGACAAAUGCCCUGCUUCCAGGAAAAGCCUCUAAGCAUCAGGUAACAUCAAAUCGUACCCCAAACCGACACAGGUGGUCAGGUAGAGAAUACCAAGGCGCUUGAGAGAACUCGGGUGAAGGAACUAGGCAAAAUGGUGCCGUAACUUCGGGAGAAGGCACGCUGAUAUGUAGGUGAAGCGACUUGCUCGUGGAGCUGAAAUCAGUCGAAGAUACCAGCUGGCUGCAACUGUUUAUUAAAAACACAGCACUGUGCAAACACGAAAGUGGACGUAUACGGUGUGACGCCUGCCCGGUGCCGGAAGGUUAAUUGAUGGGGUUAGCGGUAACGCGAAGCUCUUGAUCGAAGCCCCGGUAAACGGCGGCCGUAACUAUAACGGUCCUAAGGUAGCGAAAUUCCUUGUCGGGUAAGUUCCGACCUGCACGAAUGGCGUAAUGAUGGCCAGGCUGUCUCCACCCGAGACUCAGUGAAAUUGAACUCGCUGUGAAGAUGCAGUGUACCCGCGGCAAGACGGAAAGACCCCGUGAACCUUUACUAUAGCUUGACACUGAACAUUGAGCCUUGAUGUGUAGGAUAGGUGGGAGGCUUUGAAGUGUGGACGCCAGUCUGCAUGGAGCCGACCUUGAAAUACCACCCUUUAAUGUUUGAUGUUCUAACGUGGGCCCCUAAUCGGGGUUGCGGACAGUGUCUGGUGGGUAGUUUGACUGGGGCGGUCUCCUCCUAAAGAGUAACGGAGGAGCACGAAGGUUGGCUAAUCCUGGUCGGACAUCAGGAGGUUAGUGCAAUGGCAUAAGCCAGCUUGACUGCGAGCGUGACGGCGCGAGCAGGUGCGAAAGCAGGUCAUAGUGAUCCGGUGGUUCUGAAUGGAAGGGCCAUCGCUCAACGGAUAAAAGGUACUCCGGGGAUAACAGGCUGAUACCGCCCAAGAGUUCAUAUCGACGGCGGUGUUUGGCACCUCGAUGUCGGCUCAUCACAUCCUGGGGCUGAAGUAGGUCCCAAGGGUAUGGCUGUUCGCCAUUUAAAGUGGUACGCGAGCUGGGUUUAGAACGUCGUGAGACAGUUCGGUCCCUAUCUGCCGUGGGCGCUGGAGAACUGAGGGGGCUGCUCCUAGUACGAGAGGACCGGAGUGGACGCAUCACUGGUGUUCGGGUUGUCAUGCCAAUGGCACUGCCCGGUAGCUAAAUGCGGAAGAGAUAAGUGCUGAAAGCAUCUAAGCACGAAACUUGCCCCGAGAUGAGUUCUCCCUGAGACUUAGAGUCUCCUGAAGGAACGUUGAAGACGACGACGUUGAUAGGCCGGGUGUGUAAGCGCAGCGAUGCGUUGAGCUAACCGGUACUAAUGAACCGUGAGGCUUAACCUUACAACGCCGAAG
rnacentral:rRNA from 1 species